rnacentral:rRNA from 1 species
UUGGCGAACGGGUGAGUAAUACAUAGGUAACCUACCCUUAAGACGAGGAUAGCCAUUGGAAACGAUGGAUAAAACUGGAUAGGAUAUAGAGGAAGAAUCUUUUAUAUUUAAAAGAGAGAUCUGCUUAAGGAGGGGCCUGUGGCGCAUUAGCUAGUUGGUGGGGUAAGGGCCUACCAAGGCGAUGAUGCGUAGCCGGACUGAGAGGUUGAACGGCCACAAUGGAACUGAGAACGGUCCAUACUCCUACGGGAGGCAGCAG